rnacentral:rRNA from 1 species
GACGAACGCUGGCGGCGUGCUUAACACAUGCAAGUCGAACGGAAAGGCCCUGCUUUUGGGGGGUGCUCGAGUGGCGAACGGGUGAGUAACCCGUGGUUAACCUGCCCUUGACUUUGGGUUAACUUCAGGAAACUGGGGCUAAUACCGGAUAGGAGCUCCUGCUCCAUGUGGGGGGUUGGAAGGUUUCGGCGGUUGGGGAUGGACUCGCGGCUUAUCAGCUUGUUGGUGGGGUAGUGGCUUACCAAGGCUUUGACGGGUAGCCGGCCUGAGAGGGUGACCGGCCACAUUGGGACUGAGAUACGGCCCAGACUCCUACGGGAGGCAGCAGUGGGGAAUAUUGCACAAUGGGCGGAAGCCUGAUGCAGCAACGCCGCGUGCGGGAUGACGGCCUUCGGGUUGUAAACCGCUUUCGCCUGUGACGAAGCGUGAGUGACGGUAAUGGGUAAAGAAGCACCGGCUAACUACGUG